rnacentral:lncRNA from 1 species
AUUCCAGGUGGCUUUACUAAUAGAGAAGAAAAGGAGCUUGGAUUUUAUUGUGUAUUGUUAUGGAUGGGAUUCCAGGUGGCUUUACUAAUAGAGAAGAAAAGGAGCUUGGAUUUUAUUGUGUAUUGUUAUGGAUGGGAUUCCAGGUGGUUUUACUAAUAGAGAAGAAAAGGAGCUCGAGUGUGGAGGCAGGCUGCAACCCUUACUAGCUGUGAGACUUAGGUGAAUUACAGUUCUUUCCCUCAGUUUUCUCAUAAGGAAAAUGGUGAUCACAAUAAAACCUACCCCAUACAAUUGUCAGUAGAUUAACAAGAUAGACUACCUAACCAAGAAAAAAAGAAAAUCCAAAUUAAGUUAGAAAUAAUUAAUGAUUUUAAAUUGUGAUUUUAUUAACAAUUCUGAAAUUAUGAUCAAAUUAUCAUCCUCUGGAUAAAAGCAAUUUGUCAAAGAAAAAGUAGAAUAAUUUGAGUGGAUCAGUAAUCAUGGAAGAACUUAGAAAAUGUUAUAAAGUCUGGCACAGAGUUUCUUUAAACUCUUUCAAGCCUUUAAGGCACACCUUUCUGGUGUGAUGUAAACUUUUUCAGAGUGUAGAAAGAAAUGGAAGGCUUCCCAAUUAAUUUUGCAGAGCACUUUUGAUACCAGGAGUUAAUAAUAUACCAGUAUGGGUUCAUUAAUUGUGA